rnacentral:rRNA from 1 species
GAUAAACGCUGGCGGCGUGCAUAACACAUGCAAGUCGAACGAAGUGGCGAACGGGUGGGUAACACGUGAGUAACCUGCCUUACACAAGGGGAUAGCCUUUGGAAACGAAGAAUAAUACCCUAUAGUGUAACAUGGACUUGCGUCUGAGUAGCUAGGUGGUGAGAUAAAAGCCCACCAAGGCGACGAUCAGUAGCCGGCUUGAGAGAGUGUACGGCCACAUUGGGACUGAGACACGGCCCAAACUCUACGGGAGGCAGCAGGGGGGAAUUGUGCACAAUGGGGGAAACCCUGAUGCAGCGCCGCCGCGGUAAUAC